rnacentral:lncRNA from 1 species
GGGGCAGGCGGGAGGCGCUGAGGGACGCGGCCGGCCCGGCACUCACUGCCCGCGGAGCCCCUCGGCGCCGCUCCCCGCCGCCUGACGCCGCCCCUCGGGCCUCACCGGCACGGCCCGGAGCGGGACGUGCCCUCGGGAGGGAGUCUGCCAGGAGCAAUAUGGAGACGGCUUGGAAGUCCUGUGUCCCGCGGUCCCUCGCUGAAAUUUGAUUGGAAAGGCUGGAGCCACAGCAGCUGGGGAGCCACAGAGAGACUGAAGCUGAACAUCAUCCAAAAAUGGUGAGAGAUGACAGGCAUUGAAAAGGUAGCUUCAUUCCAAGCCUGUUCUCCUUGUGAGUCCCUCCUGUAGAAAUAAAACUGUGGUACUUGUGUGUUGUUUUCUUUCU